rnacentral:rRNA from 1 species
UACGGAGGGGGCUAGCGUUGUUCGGAAUUACUGGGCGUAAAGCGCACGUAGGCGGCUUUGUAAGUUAGAGGUGAAAGCCCAGGGCUCAACCCUGGAAUUGCCUUUAAGACUGCAUCGCUUGAACAUCGGAGAGGUAAGUGGAAUUCCGAGUGUAGAGGUGAAAUUCGUAGAUAUUCGGAAGAACACCAGUGGCGAAGGCGACUUACUGGACGAUUGUUGACGCUGAGGUGCGGAAGCGUGGGGAGCAAACAGG